rnacentral:sRNA from 1 species
CCGUUUCAGCACCGAUGCCCAUUUCCUUUCGCUUCCGCUCGGCGCAGACGGUCAUCGUCCUCGCCGUCACCCAGCUGAUCGGCUGGGGCACGACCUUCGACAUGCUCGGAGUCAUGGGCCGCAUCGUGGCGGCCGAUCUCGGCAUGGCGAACG